AUAUAAGUUAGUGGUUACACAAAUCAUAACAUUUAUAAUUAAUAUUUGUAUGCUUUUAUUGCCAGUUGCUCAAUAAUCUAACCUCCCUCUCCUGCCAGUCAUAAGCUCUGGAAUUACAGGUGCUGCAGUACCCCCACCCCAAACAUCUUCCUGUGGCAAUACUAGCAGUGUAGGCAUGUUUCCCUUAACCUAAUGAGGGAUGGUAGAAUAUUUGACUGUCCUGCUGCUACGUGGUCAAUGUCACCGACACGCUUUCCUUCCUCACCAAUGAGACUGGGAACGGUCAGUUUAUAUUCAGAAUGAGACUCACUCAUGAUGCCUCGUAUAACUCGUUCCACCAGGAGGAGGAUGGAAUCUCAUUAAUGGCUGUGAGAAACCGGAGGCUCUGUACCGUGUGGUCUUCCACCCAGUGGUGGCUGACUCCAGGGUCCACUUCCCCUCUCGCAUCAAACGCUUUGAGGAUGUGAAUUAUCUUAGUGGCCAGGUAAAGUUCACAAAAUAAUUUCUGUUUAGGUACAUUUUGUUUGAGUGGUAAUCUUCCCUUUGUCUAUUUGGUUUGUAGCUCUUUGUCCAUUGUGUUGAGCUCAUCUGUGACGUCAGUAAUCCCUCUGGCCUCUGUGGUGGACAGUGUGUGAACCAGGACAACAAUGAGAAAGGGCAAAGACCUCAAAGACAUCUGAGGAGCAUCCCAUAUGUUUAGUCUGGACAGGUUUUUGUGUGUAAAUGUCCUAAUGUGAGGAA